CGAGGGUGCAAGCGUUAAUCGGAAUUACUGGGCGUAAAGCGAGUGUAGGCGGUUACUUAAGUCGGAUGUGAAAUCCCCGGGCUCAACCUGGGAAUUGCAUUCGAUACUGGGUAGCUAGAGUUUGGUAGAGGUAAGUGGAAUUCCGGGUGUAGCGGUGAAAUGCGUAGAUAUCCGGAGGAACAUCAGUGGCGAAGGCGGCUUACUGGACCAAAACUGACGCUGAGGCUCGAAAGCGUGGGGAGCAAACCGGAUUAGAUACCCGAGUAGUCC
rnacentral:rRNA from 1 species